rnacentral:rRNA from 1 species
AUGCUUGAGCACUGCUUCCUAAGAGCAGCGUCUCUGAGACUGAGUUGGGUAGGAGCAAGCAGUUGGAUUGGCCUGACUCUUCAAGACCAAAGAUACUCGGCUUCCUCUUCAUCAAGUCACGAAAUUCGACCCUUAGUUAGCAGCACCAAAAUUAGAGCAGGCCCCAGACAAGCAAGAACAGAUAAAAGCCACCAAGCCUACGAGACCAAAGCAUGA